GACGAACGCUGGCGGCGUGCUUAACACAUGCAAGUCGAACGGAAAGGCCCUGCUUUUGUGGGGUGCUCGAGUGGCGAACGGGUGAGUAACACGUGAGUAACCUGCCCUUGACUUUGGGAUAACUUCAGGAAACUGGGGCUAAUACCGGAUAGGAGCUCCUGCUGCAUGGUGGGGGUUGGAAAGUUUCGGCGGUUGGGGAUGGACUCGCGGCUUAUCAGCUUGUUGGUGGGGUAGUGGCUUACCAAGGCUUUGACGGGUAGCCGGCCUGAGAGGGUGACCGGCCACAUUGGGACUGAGAUACGGCCCAGACUCAUACGGGAGGCAGCAGUGGGGAAUAUUGCACAAUGGGCGGAAGCCUGAUGCAGCAACGCCGCGUGCGGGAUGACGGCCCUCGGGUUGUAAACCGCUUUCGCCUGUGACGAAGCGUGAGUGACGGUAAUGGGUAAAGAAGCACCGGCUAACUACGUG
rnacentral:rRNA from 1 species